AAGGUUACAAUGAGAGGUGCACACUUUUGUAACCCAGAGUAAAAUCUGUUUUACUAGCAUUUAGUAAUUUCCUGCACUUAUUUCCUGCCAUUGAACGCAUGACUCCAACCACAUGACUUUGCUCAGCCAUUGGGAUGGCAUGUAGGUCAUAGUAAGCCUGUCCCGGCUUCCUCCCGUCAGAUGCGUGGAGGCAAGCCAGGUGACAGAGCUGUUGCAGACGCUGAUUACUGUGAGCCAGAGCCAUAGUGUUGUUGUGCACUGAACAGAACGGAAUUGGCCAGGUGAACCUUUUUGGGUAUGAAAAAGGAUGGCGAGCCAAUGAACGGCUAGGAGCAGGACUCAUUCUGCAUUGAAGCUUCCACUGGUUGGGUAGGAAGCUAUCAAAGACGACGCUCUGUCCCUAUUUUCCAAAUACACUGAUUUCCACAAUCAUACACACCAUUCCCCCCGUUUAUGGACAAUAGCGCUUGGACAUCUCUCAUGGACAUUCAGAUAAAACUCAUGGACUUCAGUGUGGAUCAGUAGUUUUGAUGUUAACAUGUGUUAUUUAUGGGGAACUGUUUUUUGAGAAUCUAUAUUGUUUGGUAUAAGCCAUAAGCCAGAAGAAUUUGCUUAGUUGUCUUUGUGCACCCCCACUGGGUUUUUGAUUAAUUGAAUAGCUGCAGCAGGAGUGAUUAUUUAAGUUUUCCUUUUCUUUUCUUGUUAUUUUUCUUUGGGUUUUGGUUAAAUACAUGGUACUUGCAAAAGCAUUUUGUGUUGUGUGUAUUUAUUAAUUACUGCCCAUCAGCUCCAGUAGCAUUCCUAAAUCUUCUGAUUACCCUAAUAUUUCACUCAAUACCUGGCCUGUAUUGAUUCAUUAGCGCUUCAUCAGUGUUACACUUUGGUUGAGUUAUUUUAAAAGAAACACUGGUAGAGGUCAGUGUUACUGCUCAGCCUCCUGCCAGUAGACUUUUUAGCUCGCACGAAUCCCCUGGAAGUUCGACAACACAUCAUUUUCGGUCACUAAACCCUACUACCUCAUACCCUUCUGUUACUGUU